UACGUAGGGUGCGAGCGUUGCCCGGAUUUAUUGGGCGUAAAGGGCGCGUAGGCGGUCACGCACGUCCGUUGUGAAAGCCCCCGGCUCAACUGGGGAGGGUCAUUCGAUACUGAUCGACUCGAAGGCAGGAGAGGGAAGUGGAAUUCCCGGUGUAGUGGUGAAAUGCGUAGAUAUCGGGAAGAACACCCGUGGCGAAGGCGGCUCUCUGGGACGGUACUGACGCUGAGACGCGAAAGCGUGGGGAGCGAACAGG
rnacentral:rRNA from 1 species